rnacentral:ribozyme from 1 species
AUAUGUUUCUUUAUUUCUUUUAUCCUCUUUUUACUUUUCUCUUGUUUUUUUUUUUUUUUUUUUUUUUUCGAAGACAGCCAAUAAACAAACAACGGGUCUUCUGUGACCCGGCGGAAGUCGCAAGUCUACCUACAGAUCAGUGAAUCAAUGCUUUUUUCUAGAAUAGUGUGUUUUUUUCUAGAAGAGAGUGACCGUACGCGCGUCUACAGAUAUUAUCCAUUUCGUUGGGGAUGAUAGUAUUUAUUCCAUCUCUCUGUGAAGAUGUGUGGCUUCGUA